rnacentral:rRNA from 1 species
CCUACGGGUGGCAGCAGUGAGGAAUCUUGGUCACUGGACGAGAGUCUGAACCAGCCAAGUAGCGUGAAGGAUGACUGCCCUAUGGGUUGUAAACUUCUUUUAUAUGGGAAUAAAAUGUUCCACGUGUGGGAUUGUGUAUGUACCAUAUGAAUCAGGAUCGGCUAACUCCGUGACAGCAGCCGCGGUAAUACGGAGGAUCAGAGCGUUAUCCGGAUUUAUUGGGUUUAAAGGGAGCGUAGGUGGAUUUGUAAGUAAGUUGUGAAAGUUUGCGGCUCAACCGUAAAAUUGCAGUUGGAACUGGCAGUCGUGAGUACAGUAGAGGUGAGCGGAAAUCGUGGUGUAGCGGUGAAAUG